AAAACUUUGCUUCGGUAGCAGGUUGGUUCAGGUUUUACCUGUUCCCAGUCGUUAGCCUGCCGGCAGCACCAAUUAAACUUGUUUUAAAAAACUAGUCUGAUAACCAUUAUUUUCGAAUGAAAAUUAAAACUUUCAACAACGGAUCUCUUGGUUCUCGCAUCGAUGAAGAACGCAGCGAAACGCGAUAGUUAAUGUGAAUUGCAGAAUUCAGUGAAUCAUCGAGUCUUUGAACGCACAUUGCGCCUUUUGGUAUUCCGAAAGGCAUGUCUGUUUGAGCGUCAUUUCAACACUCUAUCUGGCUUAAUUGUUGGUUAGGUUUUGAGCCAGGCCCAGCAAUGGACCGGUUUUAAAGUUGAACGCUCUGCGGGUGACUUAGCCUGACCGAACAUAGUAAAAUUUUGAAUUGUUCAUAAAGCAAAGUGAAACCCAGCCUGAACAAAACCCCAUAUUUCUUAGGUUUUGACCUCAGAUCAGACAAGGAUACCCGCUGAACUUAAGCAUAUCAAUAAGCGGAGGAAAAAGAACCCACCAGGGGAUUGCCUUAGUAACGGCGAGUGAAGCGGCAACAGCUCAAAUUUGAAAUCUGAGGUUUUUAAUUCCGAGUUGUAAUUUGAAGAGGAUGCUUCGGUUGUGGCCUGGGCCUAAGUUCCUUGGAACAGGACGUCGUAGAGGGUGAGAAUCCCGUACACGGCUACCGGCUUACUUCCAUGUGUAGCUCCUUCGAAGAGUCGAGUUGUUUGGGAAUGCAGCUCAAAAUGGGUGGUAAAUUUCAUCUAAAGCUAAAUACUGGCGAGAGACCGAUAGCGCACAAGUAGAGUGAUCGAAAGAUGAAAAGCACUUGAAAAGAGAGUUAAACAGUACGUGAAAUUGU
rnacentral:rRNA from 1 species